UUUUAUGUAGACAAUGUUGUUGUGUAUCAUACAUAUCAUGUGUACAAACUUUCUUAAAAAGGUUGUUGUGUAUCACACAUAUCAUUAGAUUUUAUAUGUCCAAUGUUUGAGAAGCAAUAAGACACUUCGUUUUGUCUUGAAAUGGACGCAAGAAUUUCAAAAUCAUCUAUUGGCAAUCGAGGGAGCAAAAAUGUCGGAUCUUUUUCUCCCUGGGAAGAAACAAAACCAUAUAAUUAGUGAAGAUUCCAAAAAGUGAGAUUCUGUUUUUUUAAAUUUAAAGAAGAGCACCUUCUCAGAGGUUUUCGGUUAAGAAUGCAAGAAGAAGGAAUAGAGAACAAAAGGAGUUAACCCAAAAAAAUAUUCAUCAUAUUAAAAUAAGGUUCCCUUGGUAUCUUAACAAAGUGCUUGCGUUAAAAACACAUUCACACUAUAAGCUUUGGGGAUAAGAACCAUACAAUAAUACUCCUAAAGAUAGAGACUUCUACUAACAUUAUUACUUCGUAAAUAGAUUCAAAAAUAAUAUAGCAUCUUUAACUACUGUAGAAAAUAAACCUAAGUAAUGUCAUUUGGUCAAAGAAAUGAUAUAAUGCAUGCAUUGCUAGUGUAAAACAAAUCAAUGUUAUACUGCAUUAAAAUGAAGUAAUGAACAACUGUUCGUAUGAAAUCAGAAAAUACAAUAGAGGAAACUCUGGCACUGACCUAUGUAAAAAAAUGUCAGGAAGUUAAAACUGACUGUCAACAACAGAGAGUACCCACAUAAUUGCGAUCAACUGCACAAACAUGAAUGGCUUAUCGUGAUCAUUGUCCAAGGACCAAAACAAUUAAGACCCAACUCUUUAAUAUAUGGUACCUUGAGGAACUUCAUAAAGUCCUUCCCAGAAGCCCCUUCUCUGAAGGUUGUAAAGGCCUGAUCAAAUGUCAUGCCUCAGUGACAGAGCAAUGUUCACGAAAAGUUCUUCUGGUACAACAAUCUCAAUAAGUUUUGGAGGAUACUUAAAUUCAAAAUUAAAAGAGUAAGACUUCAUUUUAGUUCAAGAUAUCUACUACCAAAUAGGAAAAAUAAGCAGAGUUCAUUAUUUUGAGAGAACACCACCAAGCAGCAUGACAGAAAGUCAGAGACAAACCUUCUUUGAUGAAGACAGGGAGUACAUAAUUGAUGACUUUAAGCAGAGAUUUUCAUGUCCUGCAGUCACGACAUUUGUUCGUUUAAGUUGCCAAGUUGUGGCUUGAAAAUUAUACACCGAAAGAAAAUGAAAAUAUGUCAGUACAAAAAUGUUUAGUUUCAGAUAUCCCAAAUAAGUAUAUUGUCGAACACAUCUACCAUAAGAAAGAAAGAAAGAAAAAAAAAAAUCUGAUUAGUAUGCAUUUACUGACGAUCCUGAGGUGCCCUUGAUUGUGCAUUUGUUUGCCUGCAAUUAAUGGUAGCAAAUCUAUUUAUAACCUUUUCUGUCACUACUAAACCCAUAAGUGGGUGGAUGAGGUGGACCUCAUGUACCAGGAUUCAUAUAAAGAAAUAUUGUGAGUGCAAUGUCAGAUGUGCAGCUUGGUGAAUGGUGAUCAGGAGGGUAUACUAAUGCAUAAAUUUAUCGACAGGAGCCUUCGCGACACAACUGUAGAACUUUUAUAGUCAAUACAAACAGUAAACAGAUAGAACCAAACCACAAAAUAGUCAAAACUUUAAUUUGCAUUGCAAUCAAAUAAAAUAAAACUACACACACCUACAAAACUCUGAAAUUAAUAGCAUGAACUAUGUAUAAGUGAUAGAAAAAAAUAUAUCGACCUGGCUGGAUAAAGAUGUUUUCCACAAUUCCUCUUUCAGAGUCCCCUGCAAUUAAGGUAGAAAAGAAAAUAUUCUUUUUCCACACUAUAGUCAAUACAAACAAAAUUUAUAUGGCAGUGCGGUUUUGUUGCAAUUAAGGACCAUAAACCUCGCUUAGCUAACAGGUCACGUACAUGGUUAGCUUUGCAUUAUAUACACUGCAACUUAAACUUUACAGAACUGCAGUACUUAUACAAUCAUCUACCAGAGACUACAGAAAACCUUCCUUCCAUGAGUGUUAAAAAAAAGUAUAGUCUGUUUGAACCUCCACAUGAUGUAUACCUAUUCCCUCAAUUAAUGCAGUCCAUCACUGAGAGCUCUGAGUUAUGCCAUGUUAUUCGAAAACUUCCCCACUGUUGAGGACAACCAUCACCAUUUAACUUCCAACUUCCUGUUUGAGGUUAGUAUCA
rnacentral:lncRNA from 1 species